AAAAUGUCUAGGAAGAGGGGUGGGAACCUCCGGGGUUUUUAAAACCUAGUUUCCGGUCAUCGGAAAGCUCUCAAAAGUCUAGAGUGGGACACAGGCCAUCUUGAGUCAGGGAGAGGGAAAAAGAUGGCAGGGUUUCCCUGUUUCUACAGACUCCCCAACCAUAUACAACUCUCCUAGGGUUGGUUUGCAGGUCGGAACCUGGCGGUGUCCCAAGUAACCACCAAAUACGUGCUGUGGGUGGACGACGACUUUGUCUUCACGGCGCGCACGCGGCUGGAGAAGCUUGUGGAUGUCCUGGAGAGGACGCCCCUGGACUUGGUUGGGGGCGCGGUGCGGGAGAUCUCGGGCUACGCUACCACCUACCGACAGCUGCUAAGUGUGGAGCCGGGCGCCCCAG
rnacentral:lncRNA from 1 species